rnacentral:rRNA from 1 species
AACGCUGGCGGCAAGCCUAACACAUGCAAGUCGAACGGACAAUUGCUUAUAACCUUUUGGUUAUAAAUAAUUGUUAGUGGCAGACGGGUGAGUAAUGCGUAGGAAUCUACCUAGUAGUAUGGAAUAGCCAUUAGAAAUGAUGGGUAAUACUGUAUAAUCCCUGCGGGGGAAAGAUUUAUCGCUAUUAGAUGAGCCUACGUUAGAUUAGCUAGUUGGUAAGGUAAUGGCUUACCAAGGCUAUGAUCUAUAGCUGGUCUGAGAGGACGAUCAGCCACACUGGAACUGAGAUACGGUUCAGACUCCUACGGGAGGCAGCAGUGGGGAAUAUUGGACAAUGGGCGAAGAGCCUGAUCCAGC